GAAUCCCAGAGAGAAGAACUGGAAAAACAGCUCUCAGGAUCGCACAGGGCACACAGAACCACUCUGAGAGGCUGCAGCCACAGUUCUAGGGAUCUAUCUGAGAUCCUGCCUGAGGCUCGUGUCCCGUGGAGCUCCCAGGUAGAAGAGCUUGAACGCCUCAGCCAAGCAAUCCCUUCGGAGCCUUCAGCUGGUGCAGGAGUCGUCCCAGGACGCAGCAGCACAGCUCCAUUCCGAUGAGCUACUUUUCAGGCGCUCAGUAGCUACCGUAGCUUGCAGCUACUGUAUCGGACAGUGCAGCUCUGCAAAUGAGGACAUGUGCUCAGAAGGCACCUUCUAUAUAUCUCAUGCUCUGGAAAUACCAAGAUGAACCAUGCAGAGCCUGACCCCAUGGAGUUGGGAGUCUAGUGGGGAAAGACAGACAUCAUCAAAUGCUGGUACAAAUAAAGGCAUGUUUACCUGAGGGGUUACAUGUUAUGCCAGGGAGGCACAG